rnacentral:lncRNA from 1 species
CCUAAGUCACCCACAAGUUGGGGGAGUUGCAGGGAAGUGACCCCAUGGUGAGACCUGUGUUCACCCUCAUGGGGGUCCCACCAGGGCCUUGCCCACAGUAUGGGUUGGUAAAGACUGGAGUGAGGAAAUGCCUGGGUGAAUGAAUAGAAGCUUCCACAGGCUGUUGUUUUUCUGUUAGCCUUUCUGAGAGAAGGAAGUGCUGUCCUGAAUGGGAUCAGACACCACUCUUAGAGCUGACGUCAGGACUGGCUAGGGAGAGAGAGGUUGGAAUUUGCCCUCACUUUCCCAUGGGGCUCUGGAAUAAACAGCUCCCAGGAGAAGCAGGGCUAGACUGCAGAGGAGACCACGAACAGGCCCGUGCAGAACAUCCUUGGAGCAUGGGGUGCCUCAGUGGAGGGGGCUUGUGUCCUAAAGACUGAAUGACACACCCAGAGGAUGGUGGUACAGUGGCACAACCAGCCCGUGGAGGCAUUGCCUCAGCAGCCAGCAUGUUCUUGAGCACCACAUCUGGCGGCAGGCAGCUUGGUGCGCCAUCUUGGGCUCUAUUAGUGCAACACAGUAUUUUCAGGGGUGCAGUAAGAGAAUAAGUAAAGGCCAAUGUUUUAGUCAGCUUUUUCACUGCUGUAACUAAAAGACCUGACCAGCACAAUUGUAGAGGAGGAAAAGUUUAUUUAAGGGCUCAUGAUUUCAGAGGUCUCAGUCCAUAGUGGCUGGCUCCAUUUCUCGGGGCUCAAGAUAAGGUUGGACAUCAUGGUGGAAGAGUAUGGUGGAGGGAGGCAGUUCACAUGAUGAUCAGAAAACAGAGAGAGACUCUGCUGGCCAGAUACAAAUAUAUACCCCAAAGCAACACCUCCAAUUCCCACAUCCUCCAGCUACACCCCACCUGCCUCCAGUUCCCACCCAGUUAAUCCCAUCAGGGAGCACUUCAUUGAUUAGGUUAAGGCUACAACCCAAUCAUUUCUCCUCUAAACCUUCUUACUUUGUCUCACACAUGAGCUUUUGGGGGACACCACAUCUAAACCAUCCCAGCCAAGAUAAGCCAUCAGUCAGAAGAAUCUUAUUUCCUAUUCUAGCCAGAAUUUCUUUAAUUUAUUGCUAUUUUUAUCUAUCAUUCCCCACGAGGAAUAGUUUGGUAUUGAAGUUAAGGCAUCAAGGUUCAAGGAGUGGUUCAACUGCAGUCUGGCUUUUUGACUUUAGGUAAGUACAAUAGGGGGUCACAUUGCCUGUAUUACAACCUGUAUUACAGAGACUCUGCC